rnacentral:rRNA from 1 species
ACAGCAGUCGCCGCGGGAAUACAGAGGGUGCGAGCGUUAAUCGGAUUUACUGGGCGUAAAGCGUGCGUAGGCGGCUAAUUGAGUCGGAUGUGAAAUCCCCGAGCUUAACUUGGGAAUUGCAUUCGAUACUGGUUAGCUAGAGUGUGGGAGAGGAUGGUAGAAUUCCAGGUGUAGCGGUGAAAUGCGUAGAGAUCUGGAGGAAUACCGAUGGCGAAGGCAGCCAUCUGGCCUAACACUGACGCUGAGGUACGAAAGCAUGGGGAGCAAACAGGAUUAGAUACCCGUGUAGUCCCUGUCUCUUAUAC